GACGAACGCUGGCGGCGUGCUUAACACAUGCAAGUCGAACGGAAAGGCCCUGCUUGCAGGGUACUCGAGUGGCGAACGGGUGAGUAACACGUGGGUGAUCUGCCCUGCACUUCGGGAUAAGCCUGGGAAACUGGGUCUAAUACCGGAUAGGAGCCAUUUUUAGUGUGAUGGUUGGAAAGUUUUUUCGGUGUAGGAUGAGCUCGCGGCCUAUCAGCUUGUUGGUGGGGUAAUGGCCUACCAAGGCGGCGACGGGUAGCCGGCCUGAGAGGGUGGACGGCCACCUUGGGACUGAGGUACGGCCCAGACUCCUACGGGAGGCAGCAGUGGGGAAUAUUGCACAAUGGGCGCAAGCCUGAUGCAGCGACGCCGCGUGGGGGAUGACGGCCUUCGGGUUGUAAACUCCUUUCGCUAGGGACGAAGCUUUUUGUGACGGUACCUAGAUAAGAAGCACCGGCUAACUACGUG
rnacentral:rRNA from 1 species